rnacentral:lncRNA from 1 species
UCCAUGUUGUUCCAACAUAGCAGUAAUCUGAAACAAUAGGGGUAAAUUAAUUAAUUACACUUUGCACUUGAUCUUGCACUUUAACAAAAAUCUCACGUUAAAUAAAAUGUUAACGUGACCCUUUUAUUCAUCUGAUGUUCAAUUGAAGGAAAGAGGUUGCGUAACGUAAAGUCUAAGCCCCACUUUGGUACUUGAAGUAAAAUGCAAGGAGUUGGCUGAUAUACAAUUGAAAGUAAGGAGUAAAAAAUUUUUUUUUUUUGUAAAACUAAAGAGGUGCAAAGUGUAAUUUAGCCGAAACAAUAUUGGAAUUUUAGAGAGUUGCGGUCUUGUUCUGGGCUAUGAAGUCCAAAAUUUGGUUGUAGCCCAUUGACCCAUCACCCGAACAAACCGGUCCCAUGAGGCCGUGGUUAUUAGCAGUCACCAGCCGGCAGCCGCCACGCAUACCCGUAAAAUGGCAUCCCCCAGUACCUGUUGGGGAUUUUAUUGUACAUUAUAAAUAAAAAAAAAAGAAAAUAAAGUCAUGAAUAUUAAUAAAUAAAAAAUAAAAAAAACCCUGUGAGGAUGGGUUAUCAUGGGUGAAAUUUUAGAUGAUUAAUCUAUUUAAAUUUAUUUAGCCAUUUUUUUACUAUCAGAGGUGACCCAUUAGGAAGUUUUAAUAGGAUUGGUGACACACUGGGCAGUUUUAUAAGGAUGAGUGGCCCAGUAGAAAAUGUCAUUAGGAUGCGUGACCAAUUGAAAACUUUAACAAGGAUGAGUACUGCAUUAAAAAAAUCAUAUUGAUCAAAUAUAC